rnacentral:tRNA from 1 species
GGGGGAUUAGCUCAGUUGGGAGAGCGCCUGCCUUGCACGCAGGAGGUCACCGGUUCGAGUCCGGUAUCCUCCACCA